GGAGUUUUGCAUAGUGUUCCUGUAUAUGCUCCCGCAGGGAGCAGAGUUGCGCAUACCUUUUCCGGCGCCGCUCGCACCGCUAUUCGCGGAGCGCGAUCACGUGGUGCAAAAUGACGUCAAAUGAUCAACUGCGCGCUCCGAAGCCAACUUUACGGAAAGGGUGUGACUCGUUUCUGUCAGUGCCAUCGAAAUUGCAAUCAGCGGACCGUCGAGCGCGCGUAGCAACGAUCGGCUCCGGGUUGCAGUGUGACGGGUUGCAGCGCACCAAACUACGCAAAUCGCACGGAAGGUGGCAGAGAUUUUUACGCGGUGCCGUGCGGACUGACGAGACCGGCCGGCUCCGAAAGGGACCAGGAUAUGCGAGGUCCGUUCGCCUGUUUACAGAGUUGCUUUGAAUUCUGCCCCCCAAGGCUCCAAGAACCAGCACUCAUCCCCUGCUGCCACCAGCCAUUGCUCAUCCAUUCCCUUGUACGAAAUAAAUUUGAUCUAGA